GUGGGUGGAGUUGACUGUCAGAUCGCAUUCAGCAUUGUUCCAUUGGCCUAAAUUUGAGUUGCAGGCAAUCCAAGUGCGUUCGAUAACUCCCAAUUUUUCUGACCACCCUCUGGAUUAUUGAGCUGGCCAAAGCACAUAUCAUUAAUCAGUUAAGCGUGCAAUUGAGGUGAACCAAAUUUGCAUCAUUCAAUGGCAAAGUCUUCAUUGAGAAGUGAAGAGCGAAGAUCCAUUAGAGAUAGAUGAUAUAUAGAUGUACAUAAUCACAUACAGCUCCUCACCUGCCCACACCUACCCCGCACUCCCUCACCUGGCCAAAAAAAAAAAAUAAACCUAGUUUAUUGUUCUGUCACGCGCUCGGACAGCGGACAGCGGACAGCGGAUAGCGGCCAACGUCAUCAAGUGGUCUUCUUCUUGUUGUUGUUGUUUCUCUUGUAGUUUUUAGUUUUUAGCUUUACAUUCACUUUUUUUCGCAUCCGCAUCCACUGCUGCUACCGAACCGGACGGGCCUCAAGAAGUGCUCUUCACGGCGCUUUCGGUACUAGCUCUGGUACUGGGUACGAAAAAUACACAUAUUUGUUGUUGUUGUUGCUGUUGUCGUCGCUGCUCCAAGGUUGAGGCAAACUGGUAUCAUCAACAACAGCAACAACAACGACGAGCAGCAAUCAGAGCUGUGAAGAUGAGCAGCAGCAGCAGCAGCAGCAGCAGCAGCAGUCGGCUGUCCAAGACAUAAUCGCAAUAUAGCAACAAUCUGAGUUGCUAUCGCAGUCGGCGUCGCAGUCAACGCCGACGUCGGCACGAGUCUCUAUGCAUUAAUUACUGACCAUAACCAUAACCAUAACCGUAUAGCCAUAUAGCCAUAUCCAUAUCCAUUUCGGCCAUAGUGAAGCAGCCUCUUAACAAAUUAGAAGCCUUUCGCUUGGCUUAAAAGAAACCUCAUUGUCUUAGCGCUUAGGUUUUAGCCUUGAGCUGCUGCCAGAUCGGCCAGAUAAGAGGCUCCACAGAUAACGCAAUAAAUGCACUUAACGAAAUUCUAGAGAGAUCCUCAAAUUAAUUACUUCAUAAGAUCUUGCUUUUAUAGUAUAUAUAAGUAUAUAAUUCAUUAGAUACUAAUUUAUAUAUGUACAUAGUGAACUAUACAAUAGUUCAUUGUUGAUCGCGUGAAUUAGCUGUUCAUAUAAUAGAUCAUAAUAAACUAAUUGAUCACUGAUCAGUAUAUCUGUUUAUGCUGAUCGACCAUAGAGUCAUUAAA